rnacentral:rRNA from 1 species
UACGUAGGGGGCAAGCGUUGUCCGGAUUUAUUGGGCGUAAAGAGCGUGUAGGCGGCCUGACAGGUCUGCUGUGAAAACUCGAGGCUCAACCUCGAGAUGUCGGCGGAAACCGUCUGGCUAGAGUCCGGAAGAGGAGAGUGGAAUUCCUGGUGUAGCGGUGAAAUGCGCAGAUAUCAGGAGGAACACCGGUGGCGAAGGCGGGUCUCUGGGCCGAUGACUGACGCUGAGGAGCGAAAGCGUGGGGAGCGAACAGG